CCUACGGGGGGCAGCAGUGAGGAAUAUUGGUCAAUGGACGAGAGUCUGAACCAGCCAAGUAGCGUGAAGGAUGACUGCCCUAUGGGUUGUAAACUUCUUUUAUAUGGGAAUAAAAUGUUCCACGUGUGGGAUUUUGUAUGUACCAUAUGAAUAAGGAUCGGCUAACUCCGUGCCAGCAGCCGCGGUAAUACGGAGGAUCCGAGCGUGAUCCGGAUUUAUUGGGUUUAAAGGGAGCGUAGGUGGAUUGUUAAGUCAGUUGUGAAAGUGUGCGGCUCAACCGUAAAAUUGCAGUUGAAACUGGCAGUCUUGAGUACAGUAGGGGUGGGCGGAAUUCGUGGUGUAGCGGUGAAAUGCUUAGAUAGCACGAAGAACUCCGAUUGCGAAGGCAGUUCACUGGACUGCAACUGACACUGAGGCUCGAAAGUGUGGGUAUCAAACAGGAUUAGAUACCCUAGUAGUC
rnacentral:rRNA from 1 species